CAAAGAGGAGGAAACAGGACACCCUUGCUCCUCCUGGCUGGGCCAGCAGGGACAGCCAGGAGCUGAGCACACUCUGCCUGUGGAUCCUCCUCAGCUCUGCCUGUGUCAUCCUGGCUGCACUGAGACCAUGGCUCUGCUCAGAGCGAGGCCAUCCCAGGCUCUGAUGCUCACCUUGCUCCUCUGUGUGCUGCUGCUGGAGGCCCAGGGAGGGUACCCCAAACAUAAGUGGCUUCCAAAAUCACCCUGGGCUCUAGAAAACAAGAAGUGUAAGAAGUGGCCCAGAGCUGAUCUAUGCAGCCACCACUGUUCAUACUUCCAGAAGUGUCAAGACAAGAGCACAUGCUGCUUAACCUUCUGUGGCAACGUCUGCAUGAAGCUGUGAGGGGGCGGGUGGGCUGCACUUCCUGUUCCCCCAUUCCUCUAUUUAGAUAGAGUCCUGGCUGAAGGACCUCCGAUCACAGCAGGAGACCAUCAUCGGCAGUGCUCAGACCCUCCCCACUGUCUGGACCCCUUGUCCCUGUCAAAUAAACUGGAAUGACACCUGG